CAAUAGCGUAUAUUAAAGUUGUUGCGGUUAAAAAGCUCGUAGUUGGAUUUCUGCUGAGGACGAUCGGUCCGCCCUCUGGGUGAGUAUCUGGCUCGGCCUUGGCAUCUUCUUGGAGAACGUUACUGCACUUGACUGUGUGGUGCGGUAUCCAGGACUUUUACUUUGAGGAAAUUAGAGUGUUUCAAGCAGGCGCACGCCUUGAAUACAUUAGCAUGGAAUAAUAAGAUAGGACCUUGGUUCUAUUUUGUUGGUUUCUAGAGCUGAGGUAAUGAUUAAUAGGGAUAGUUGGGGGCAUUCGUAUUUAACUGUCAGAGGUGAAAUUCUUGGAUUUGUUAAAGACGGACUACUGCGGAAGCAUUUGCCAAGGAUGUUUUCAUUGA
rnacentral:rRNA from 1 species